rnacentral:rRNA from 1 species
CCUACGGGGGGCAGCAGUGAGGAAUAUUGGUCAAUGGACGAGAGUCUGAACCAGCCAAGUAGCGUGAAGGAUGACUGCCCUAUGGGUUGUAAACUUCUUUUAUAUGGGAAUAAAGUGAUCCACGUGUGGCUUUUUGUAUGUACUAUAUGAAUAAGGAUCGGCUAACUCCGUGCCAGCAGCCGCGGUAAUACGGAGGAUCCGAGCGUUAUCCGGAUUUAUUGGGUUUAAAGGGAGCGUAGGUGGGUUGUUAAGUCAGUUGUGAAAGUUUGCGGCUCAACCGUAAAAUUGCAGUUGAUACUGGCAGUCUUGAGUACAGUAGAGGUGGGCGGAAUUCGUGGUGUAGCGGUGAAAUGCUUAGAUAUCACGAAGAACUCCGAUUGCGAAGGCAGCUCACUGGACUGCAACUGACACUGAGGCUCGAAAGUGUGGGUAUCAAACAGGAUUAGAUACCCCAGUAGUC